rnacentral:rRNA from 1 species
AUUGAACGCUGGCGGCAGGCCUAACACAUGCAAGUCGAGCGAGCGGCGGACGGGUGAGUAAUGCCUGGGAAUUGCCCAGUCGAUGGGGAUAAAGGUUGGCACCGACUGCUAAUACCUCAUAGGAUUGGAUUGCCCAUGGUGGGUUAGCUAGUUGGUGAGGUAAUGGCUAACAAAGGCUACGAUGCCUCGCUGGCCUGAGAGGAGGAUCGGCCACACUGGGACGGAGAUACGGUCCAGACUCCUACGGGAGGCAGCAGUAGGGAAGAUUGCACAAUGGGUGAAACUCUGAUGCAGCCAUGCCGCUUGGGUGAAGAAGGCCUUCGGGUCGUAAAGCACUUUCAUCGAGGAGGCGUUACUCGCAGAAGAAGCACCGGCUAACUCCGUGCCAGCAGCCGCGGUAAUAC